rnacentral:rRNA from 1 species
GAUGGCGUACCUUUUGCAGAAUGGACCGGCGAGUUACGAUAGUUGGCGAGGUUAAGUUGAAGAAACGGAGCCGUAGCGAAAGCGAGUCUUCAUAGGGCGAAAGUCAGGUGUCGUAGACCCGAAACCAGGUGAGCUACCCAUGUGCAGGUUGAAGGUGCGGUAAGACGCACUGGAGGACCGAACCCAAAUACGUUGAAAAGUGUUGGGAUGACGUGUGGGUAGGGGUGAAAUUCCAAUCGAACCUGGAGAUAGCUGGUUCUCUCCGAAAUAGCUUUAGGGCUAGCCUCAAUGUAAGAAUCGUGGGGGUAGAGCACUAUUAGGAUGCGGGGGGCUCACGCCCUACCAAUUCCUGAUAAACUCCGAAUACCAUUGAUUCAUCAUUGGGAGUCAGACUGCGAGUGCUAAGAUCCGUAGUCGAAAGGGAAACAGCCCAGACCACCAGCUAAGGUCCCCAAGUUACUGUUAAGUGGGAAAGGAUGUGGAGUUGCACAGACAACUAGGAUGUUGGCUUAGAAGCAGCCACCAUUGAAAGAGUGCGUAAUAGCUCACUAGUCGAGUGACUCUGCGCCGAAAAUGUACCGGGGCUAAACAGUACACCGAAGCUGUGGAUUCUAACAAUUGUUAGAGUGGUAGGAGAGCGUUCUAUGGGCAUUGAAGCUGUACCGUAAGGAGCAGUGGAGCGCAUAGAAGUGAGAAUGCCGGUAUGAGUAGCGCAAGACGGGUGAGAAUCCCGUCCACCGAUUGACUAAGGUUUCCUGGGGAAGGCUCGUCCGCCCAGGGUUAGUCGGGACCUAAGUUGAAGCCGACAGGUUUAGACGAUGGCUAACAGGUAGAGAUUCCUGUACUCGGUAUACACGUUUGAGCGAAGGAGGGACACAGGAGGUAGUGUCACGCAUCCUGUUGGAUAUGGAUGUAGAAGCGUCAAGCCUAAGAAAGAGUCAAAUGCUUUUUCUUAUUAAAGGUAAGACGUGACCUGGAGUGAAUUAAAGUAGCGAAGGUGACGAAUCAUACUGUCAAGAAAAGCUUCUAGUGAGUGUAUACGGACCCGUACCGCAAACCGACACAGGUAGUCAGGUAGAGAAUACCAAGGUGAGCGAGAGAACUCUCGUUAAGGAACUCGGCAAAAUGACCCCGUAACUUCGGGAGAAGGGGUGCUGACUUUAAGUCAGCCGCAGUGAAUAGGCCCAGGCGACUGUUUAUCAAAAACACAGGUCUCUGCUAAAUCGAAAGAUGAUGUAUAGGGGCUGACGCCUGCCCGGUGCUGGAAGGUUAAGUGGAGUGCUUAGCGUUAAGCGAAGGUACGAAAUGAAGCCCCAGUAAACGGCGGCCGUAACUAUAACGGUCCUAAGGUAGCGAAAUUCCUUGUCGGGUAAGUUCCGACCCGCACGAAAGGCGUAACGAUCUGGGCACUGUCUCAACGAGAGACUCGGUGAAAUUAUAUUACCUGUGAAGAUGCAGGUUACCCGCGACAGGACGG